UGAGGAAUAUUGGGCAAUGCCCGCAAGGGUGACCCAGCAACGCCGCGUGGAGGAUGAAUGUCGUAAGAUUGUAAACUCCUGUUAGAGGGGAAGAAUAGUACCGGUUGGACCGGUAUAUGACUGUACCCUCAGAGAAAGCCCCGGCUAACUACGUGCCAGCAGCCGCGGUAAUACGUAGGGGGCAAGCGUUGUCCGGAUUUACUGGGUGUAAAGGGCGCGCAGGCGGGAUAAAAAGUCAGUGGUGAAAUCCUACAGCUUAACUGUAGAACUGCCUUUGAUACUUUUAUUCUUGGGUUCGGGAGAGAGAGACGGAAUUCCAGGUGUAGCGGUGAAAUACGUAGAUAUCUGGAAGAACACCAGUUGCGAAGGCGGUCUCUUGGUCCGACACUGACGCUGAGGCGCGAAAGCGUGGGGAGCAAACA
rnacentral:rRNA from 1 species